CUCACCAAUAACACGAGACGAAAAUCAACAUAUUCAAUAAACAUGCUUAACAUAAAAUCAAAUCAUAAACUCGCAAGGCCAUGCUAUUCAUUUAUGCAAUUGAACUAUAAAAUCAUGUAAUUUUAGAAGGGGGUCCACUCACAGUACUUCGUCAUCGAAAAGUCACGUAGCUAGCGAAGACAGAAACGCCACUAUAAUUACCCCUAAGCACAUAAAGAGUCCAAUAAAUAAAACUAUAUAAUAGCAAUUGAAUUUGGGAAAAAGGACAUUGGAAACGGAUUCAGAACGUCAAAUUACCUUAAGAAGGGUCCUGGAUAAAUUUCGUAAAAUGUCAAUAGAAUAUCUUUAGAAUAUUUCCAAAGAAUAUUCCCUGGCAGAAUAUUCCACAUAAAGUGUUUGGGUUUAGCUAAUUAGGUGGGCUAGGUUUAGAGGAGAGGGCUUAGGGCCCUAGUUAAAAAGGCCCGAAGGCUGUAAGCCUAAGGGUUUUGGGUUUCUAGAUAAAAAGGCUUAGGGCCUUAGCUAAUUUGGCCCAAAGGCCUUUAACUUAAAACAAUUAAUAAAAUAAAUAAUAAAACUGAAAUGGGUUUUGGGUUGGGCUCGGCAGGAAAGGCCUAAAGGGCUUGGGUUUGGUGGGUCGCCAGACGCAAGGAUGAAGAAGGCCGAAAUUCGGCCAGAAAUCCACACCAACUUUAAAUGGCCAUAACUUUGACAAAACUCCACAAAAUCGAGUGAUUCAAAAACGAAAGUUGUAGUUCUCGAAAAGACAAAGAGAAUGUCACAUGAUGUCUAACUUGCCGUGGUUUGGCUUGAAAAUGCCUCGAAAGCCUCGGAGGUCACCGAAAACUGGGUAAGAUUUAAAUGAGUAUAACUUUUUCAGUACUUAAUGAAAUUGAGUGAAACAAAAAGGAAAGUUGUAGUUCUUAGCAAGAUGAAGAGAUUGAUACCUUGCA
rnacentral:lncRNA from 1 species